UGGGCUUAACAGAUGACUGCCCCGCGUAGCUUUAUGCGCAGUGGGGAGGAAAGUCCGGACACCCGAUCAACAGUAAUGUUGAUUUGACAAUGAGAGUCGUUAACGACGACCGGGAUAUAGUCCUCCGAAGCUUUAGCGACGGGGGGUAAACCCAGGGAAAGUGUUCCUAACGGAAUCACCCAUAGCCUCGGCGAAGGGUGGCCACAGAGACAAUAAUAAUCGAGCUCAGCUCGACAAAAGGUGAAAAGUGAAAUGAUGUGGUCGACUCCGGCGCAAGUCGGAGCAACGUACUGUUACAUUUCUCCUGCCAUGGCGACAUGGUACGGUGGCAAACCCUCUCUGGCGCAAGAGCAAGCGUGAUAAACCUCAUUUGGUACUUCACACUGGUCGCUCGCAAGAUCUUGCAAGCAAUUGCAAGGCUAGAUAGAUAGUCAUCACCCCACAAAACAUCCUGGGAAAUGUGACGUGGGGUACAAAAUUCGGCUUAUCGUUUCGCCCAAAUC
rnacentral:RNase_P_RNA from 1 species